rnacentral:misc_RNA from 1 species
CAGCCGCGUAAUUCCAGCUCCAAUAGCGUAUAUUAAAGUUGUUGCAGUUAAAAAGCUCGUAGUUGAACCUCGGGGUCUACCCAUUGGUCAGGCUUAAUUGUCUGUACUGGUGAGAUGGAUCUCUACCUUCUGAGGAACUUUCAUGCCAUUUAUUUGGUGUGAUGGGAAAUCAGGACUGUUACUUUGAAAAAAUUAGAGUGUUUAAAGCAGACUAUCGUCUGAAUACAUUAGCAUGGAAUAAUGAAAUAGGACGGACUGAUUCUAUUUCGUUGGUUUCUAGGAUCACCGUAAUGAUUAAUAGGGAUAGUUGGGGGGAUUAGUAUUCAAUUGUCAGAGGUGAAAUUCUUGGAUUUAUUGAAGACUAACUACUGCGAAAGCAUUUGCCAAGGAUGUUUUCAUUAAUCAAGAACGAAAGUUAGGGGAUCGAAGACGAUCAGAUACCGUCGUAGUCUUAACCAUAAACUAUGCCGACUAGGGAUCGGACGAAGUUAAUUUUAUAAUGACGCGUUCGGCACCUUACG